AUUGAACGCUGGCGGCAUGCUUUACACAUGCAAGUCGAACGGCAGCGCGGGCUUCGGCCUGUCGGCGAGUGGCGAACGGGUGAGUAAUGCAUCGGAACGUGCCCAGUAGUGGGGGAUAGCCCGGCGAAAGCCGGAUUCAUACCGCAUACGACCUGAGGGUGAAAGCGGGGGACCGAAAGGCCUCGCGCUAUUGGAGCGGCCGAUGUCGGAUUAGCUAGUUGGUGGGGUAAAGGCUUACCAAGGCGACGAUCCGUAGCUGGUCUGAGAGGACGACCAGCCACACUGGGACUGAGACACGGCCCAGACUCCUACGGGAGGCAGCAGUGGGGAAUUUUGGACAAAGGGGGCAACCCUGAUCCAGCCAUGCCGCGUGCGGGAAGAAGGCCUUCGGGUUGUAAAGCGCUUUUGUUCGGGAAGAAAUCCUCUGGGCUAAUACCCCGGGGGGAUGACGGUACCGAAAGAAUAAGCACCGGCUAACUACGUG
rnacentral:rRNA from 1 species